GCCCACUGGUGAGUCCAUUCAUGUUGAGAGCUGGAGAUGAGCCGGCACCUACUGUAUGCCAGGCCUGGGUAAGCACAGUACCGUGUAACCUGGGGCAGCAGACCCGGAAGGGGUCUGUCGUGAAGAUCUGCUGUCCCAACAGGACACCUAGGGGCACAGCGUACACACCAAUGUCCUCCAAGGCUGGAAGUGACACCCACUGACCCCACGACAGACAGGAGCAGAGGAAGCAGAAGAGGAGCCCAGAUAGACGGUGGAAAUGCCAGGGCAGCGGUUAGGAAAGCGUUGGGUCAUAAAUGUGGCCGAGAUGUUUGUCCCCACCCCCCCCAAUAAUUA